GUAACUGUUAACGCACAUGUGCUCUACUGUUGUUUAAAAUAAUAACCAAGUUUUGUUUAAUUAUCUUUACUUUUAUUAAACUUUUAUAAGUGGACAAGUAUAAAAUCGACUUAAGCUUCCACUAUGUUUCAAUGUGUAGAGCUGUUGGAAGUAUGUAGCCUUCGUUUGGAUGUUUCCACCCAUUUGAUAGGACUCCUUUAGGAUAUCCAAGGCGUCAGCAACGUAGCCUACAUUAGGAACACUGUAGUUGGUAAUUUUGUACUGCAAAUUACCUAAUUAAUAACUUCAAAUUGUACAUUUGUGCUUAACAUACUGUUAAAUCAGCUGGGUUAGCCUCUGUAGUUGAAGCAUUAUCAGCAUUAGAAAAGGCGACGAAAAGUACGCAAAAUACAAAUACAAAUAAAGUUUUUAGAAGCAUUUUUAUGGAAUCUAGAAACAAUAUGUUAUAAUUAAUUUAAAACACCUUUUUUGUAUGAUAAUAGAGAUAAAAAUGCUCCAAAUUUACUUACUCACACUUACUAAGUCACUUAAGAUAUAUGUUUUAGUUUUUUAAUUUUUAUUUUAUAUUUUCCCAAUCUUAUCUCGUGAUUUAAAUAUAAUGGUGGGAUGUGGGUGAUACAAUCAAUCUGUGAUCUAGAUUUUUCUUAUAUAAUCUAAAAUAAAAUCACAUAUUUUAUUUAUUUUUUAAAAUACAGGAGCCUUUCAGUAAUACUUGAAUGCUGAGGGAUGUAAUAUGAGGCUUAAGGCACCCUGAACUGUAAAAACAUCUACAAUUCACCCACAAAAUCUGAGGUGAUUCACAUACAUAUUUAUUUACUAAACCACUUAAAGAUAUGUGUUGUCUUUUAUUAAUUUUUAUUGUAUGUUUUGGCAAUCUUAUCUUGUGAUUUAAAUACUAUAUUAGGACUCAGACUAUUCAAUUUAUAAUCUAUAUUAUCGAAGUGAAAUAAAACCACAUGUUGUUGA